CCUGCUCUUGUGUCUCUCUCUUAAGAAUAAAUAAGACCCGUAAGAGAAAAAAAAAUAGAAGCCAGUCCGUUUAGUGUUGUCUGUUUUGCCCAGUGAUACCUCCUCACUCCAGCAGGGCAGGGGGACAAGGGUGACCGUCUUCGAUCUCUGUUGGCAUCUGCUGAGUCUUCCGUAUUGCCAUCUCGCUUCUGGUCAGGUGCCCACACCUGCCACGGCCAGAACAGCCUUGCUUCCUGAGAAGACAUUCCACAUCCCCCUCCUGUCUCCGGGCUUCUGGAAAUUUCUCCACAGAAAGUCCCGUUGUCCUGGGUUAGCUGCCGGAGCCCCUGGGAGGCUGUGUGCCCCCUCUGGCUGGACACACCUCUCUAUUCUGCUCUCCCUCCGUGCCGGAGGCUCGCUCUUGCUGUGGGAACAGGGACACUGCUAUUUCAGCUUUGGAAUUCCUUAAAUCUACCUGCUUUAGGGUGGGCUGACGGGGGGUGGGGGUGGCUGUCAAGUUCAUUGAUUUCUUCAGAUGCUCCUCCACCCCCAGGGUCUAUGGAUCUAAUCUCGGAAAGACAGUUUGGCUUUCUGAGCCAAUGUGAACAAAUAUGGCCCCAGCGCGUCAUGUCUCCCAGAAGGAGAUUUGGGGACCCGGGCAAUGGGCUCACAAGUACCUUUUCUCUGUCUUUGCUUCCACGUCCUUUCCUGGAGGCAAUGGAUGCCAUAUGUUGGAGCCGCUCAGAAGAUCUCUCUUGAAAAUAAUACACGCUCAGCAAUAUUUAUUGGGUGAUUAACUGGCCUGUGAUCGAGACAGCCACCUGACUGUUUUGGGUUAAAGCAAGUGGAGUGGAAUAGCAUUUCGUAAUGGACGAAUCACUCAGAUAUAUGCAUUAUCCAACUAUCACUUAAAUACCACAGCAACCCUGCCAAGGAAGUAUUGGUAGCCUCAUACACGAGUUCCCUGAAGUCUCAGAGCGUCUAGGUAACGUGUCUAAUGUCAACGCAGCUGGUAAGGGACAGAUUUGAAUCCAGGAUUUGCCCCUCAGCCCAGGACUCGUCCCCACCUCGAGUGGCAAAAGCCCAGUGGAAACAAAGGUGACCAAGAAAAAAAAAAAAAAAAAAGGCAGGUAAGUGUAACUCUUCAGCCGUUUGUCUCGAAGCUUUUGCCCGUCUCUGAUCCAACAUCUGCAGGCUGUUUCUACUUCCUGCUGAGCCCCUUUCCAGAAGGCUCCGUCUGGAAAGGACUCCAAAUUCAGCACUGAAAGCCCGGCUCCUGGUAACCGAAGAUGGUUGGCAAAUGGUCUUUGAACAAACCUCUCUCAUGAAAUGCCGGGUCGGUUUCACAAGUACAUAAAAUAACAACGGGAUCAAAGACAUAAACAAGAACAAGCCUGUAAUCGUCACAAAGCGGGCAGGCGUGGGGGAAGGAAGGCGGCUUCUGAUGCUCUCGCCCCUCCUGUUUUCUUUGCAGGCGAGUCCAACGCUCUGGCCAUCUGUUCCUUGUUGUGGGUGGUUAAGUGAAAUGGGCUGCCAAUACAAAUAGCCCCACUUGAGGUUUGUUUGCAUAAAUUGUUUUGAAAGCUUCAUGACGAAUUUUCAGGAUUACUUGCAGUGGUGGGGACCUCGGUGGAGGCGGAAAUAUAAAUUUAGAGAUGCCAGUUGGAAUCUCUUAAUUUCCUUGAAGCCCAUCGCCCUGGCUCUGCUUCUCAACUGGCUGUGUGACCUUGGGCAGGUGAAUUAACCUCUCUGGUCUUUAGGCUCCCCAUCUGCUCGAUGGGAGGUGAUAGGCAUUGUGGACACCUCAUGGGACUAUGAAUUUGAAACAAGAUGAGGCGGACGAAAUGGCUUAGCGCGGGGAUCGGCGCACGGCGCGAGCUCGGGAAAGGAAGCGAUCGGAGCCUUUCUGCUGAAAUGAGAGGAAGGGUGGCCCCAUUUGGUGCUCAGAGGCAGACAGCCCUGGGGUGGUGGGCCAGCUACGUGACACGCUAGCUGGGUGACCUUGGGAAACAUAGCUUCUCUCUGAACCUCGGGUUUUAAAUUCGGGGAAUGGGGCUAAUCAUGGGUCAUGAAGGCUACACGAGGCCACGUGCAAAGCACGGAGCACGAUGUCAAGUGUUCACAACGGCUGCCACGGUGAUUAUUCCACGAAGGCCAUGGCUAGGCUACCGCUGGCUUGGGUUUGGGCUCUUUACUCUCUAGGCCUGGGAUGGUGCACCCCCGUUCCGUCCCCUGUUGCUUCCGAUCUUGGUCGGAGCCACCCAGAGUGCAGUUUGUUCAGAAGGAGCGAGACGGGGGCGCGGCUAGGAGGGGAGGCACAGGAGUGUCACAGGGGUACUUGACGGCCGUGCUCUGGACUCUGGCAGGGAAGACAUUAAGGCCACCGCCUGCGCAUGCUCAGCUGAUAAAGAAAGAAGACGCACAGAGCGAGGUGGAGAGAGGGAGACACAGCGCAGAACAGCCCGCGGCCAAAUGUCGCCAAGCUUGCGCUGGAUUCCGGACCCCCCCCCCCCCGGGUGCUGCUGGCAUCUCAUGGCGCACGGCGAGGGGGUCUCCAGGGAGAGCCCACUUUAGGUCAGUUGUCUUGGGGUAAGAGGGAGAAAGAGACAGACGGGAGGGAGAGAGAAGUAACGAGAGCGUGAGACGAAGGAGGACUGAGCGAGAAGCACAGAAGAGACACAGAGAGCCGGGGAGGAGACAGAGAUAGAGUCAGAGGGACAUGGGAGAAAGAGAAGAGGCGCGGAGAGAGCAAGAGAAGGAGAGAAGCCCCGAGGGACACGGACAAGGACGGACACAGAGAAGGUGAGACAGAGAGAUGGAGAGAGACAGGGAGAGACGCGCGUAGCUAUACAGAGAGAGAGAGACACGCGUGCAGAGAGUGCAAUAGGGACACGGAGGGGUGGGACAGCAGAGGGAGAGGUGGAGGGAUGACCAGAGAUAGAGACCGAAGAGAAAAGGAGGCCGCAAAGGCUGUCCACAGCUCCCAGAACCCGAGCAAACGACGCAGUCCGCUCGCUCUUGGAUUCAGAGCUGCACGCUCGGGGGCCAUCAGAGGUGGUGACGGGCGGUGACCCCCAUCUUGUCCCUGGGACACCCGCUGCCCAUCUGCCCCCCCCCCCCCCGGCCUGGCACACCGGCCAGACCUUUUUUUUGGCUCCCGGGGGCCUGGCCUGGUUCUUUCGUCUCCCUGCCGCGUGGCCCCGUCUCCUAGUGCACACGGAGAACGGCCCAGAUGGAGCAAAGGGCCAGGGCUCGUGGCCAUGCCCGUCGGAGCAUUUCUACCGAUGACAGUUAAAUUGCCGGGGCCUCUGUUCUUCAUUGACAUCACAGACGGGAGAGUCCUCCGACGACCUCCCCCAAAUGAAAGCCAGCUGCCCCCCGUCCCAUCCGUUGUGCCUUCUUGCUUCCUUUCAGACGGUCUUCUGACUUUCAGCUCCAACCUGCCGUCUGCCUUGACAGGCUGUAGUGCUUAAUGAUGUUUUAUUGUGUGAUUUCACCAAACCCUAGAGUUUUUCACUUAUUUGAAGCUAAUGGACGAAAUCUGGACCCAUUUGCCAAAACAAGCCCCGUUGUGGCAAGGAGCAGAGUGGUCACACAUAAAUCAGAGUCUCAGGUAAAAGAUUAGGUUUCUCCUGCAUCGGAGCCAGCGACAGGCCGUAUUUCUACGCGAUUGGUACGUGUAGAACCAAUGGCCGUCCCGAGGCAUGUUUGAAACUCACUUUCCUACCGGGAAGGAUGCGGGGCAAACUAGUGCCCUGGGUUCUGUGAUAAAUGUCGGCCUAACCUCUGUUGUAUGUGAGUCCUGGAGGCAUCUGUAGCUGGCAGGCACGCUCCAGAAAGCAAUCACAUCUUGGUAGGGGACGUGCCUAUCGUUUGAAGUAGAGAGUGGACCAGUGGGCGAGGUUCUGGGGGGGUAUGCCUACCAGCGGGGUUGCACUCUCUCGGCAGUGUGGAGUAGGUGACUCAGAGGGCAAAGCUUCACAUUUGGGUAGGUAUUAGAGCGGCGGCUCUCGGCCAGAGAUGAUUGUGCCUUCUGUGGGACCCUCGACAACGUCAGGAACGUUUUCAGUUGCCACAACUGGGAAGGGAGGGUGCCAGGGAUGCAGCUAAGCGUCAUACCAUGGACAGGACAGCUCCCCACAACGCAGAAUGAUCUGGCCGAAUAUGUCAAUCCUGCUACUGAAGAAUCCUGUUUUACGUGGAGGGAAACAGUGUGGUGAUAUGUAUGAUCCAGAUGACUGGGCGGACAGGUACAGCUGUGCAGGUUGCGCAUUGGCCAAAUCCAGUGGGUGCUGGUCACAUUGCCUCUGGGGAACACGGGCCUCCCGGAGUUGGGCAGUGCAAAAGCCCUUGGGUGGGGGGGGGAGCAAAGUACGGAGUACGAACCAAGUUGGGAGUACGAGCAAAGACUCAAAGGCAGGACAGUUUGUGUUUGGUUUGCCUUGAGCAGAAGAUGCCUGGAGGAGAUUGGAAGGCAGUGAAAAGUUAGGGUUGGGUCUAGGAGCUCGGACUUCGUUCUGCGAGCGGUGGGGAGCCACGGAAGGCUUUGGGAGAUAGCGUGAAAUGAGAUGUGCUUCGGAAAGACUCGGUGAGCAGCAAUCCGUAACGUAGCUGAAAGUCGUCAUGGGCGGAGAAAGAGCGGGGAGGCUGGGAGAAAGGGACGCCAGCAAGAGAAGCGCUCCGUGGCCUGUGGGAUUAGAAGAGGUGGGCCCGGGGAGCAGACACAUCGCGGAGGCCGGUCACGGGCUGAGGAGGGCAGCGAGGAUACCCGUACCACCGGGGCCACCAACUCCAAGCCCCUCUUGGAUUGACCCCGAGUAGACCCUCCCGCCAGCUUCAGCGUGAAACUGAACACCCUGCGCAGGUGGCCCCGAGGCCCGUGUAACAAACACGGUGCUGUUCUGAGUUAUUUGUCCUUUUCGUUUGUGGUGACAAGGGGACCCAGAGAGAGAAACAAGAGCACGCCCGCAGCCUGCCUGAGGAUCUGGGGAUACCACCCUCCGAGAGCACAGAAGAGAGAGUUUUAGGUGUUUGCUGUCAUGGUGAAGCGGAAGAGAGAGAGCGAGAGAGAAUCCCAAGCAGGCUCU